ACCCACAUCACAUUGAAACACUGGUUCCUGUAUGAUCACUGAUAGUUAAGCAAUGUCAAGUCUGGUCAGUACCUAGAUUGGUGACUGUUUGGGAAUACCAGGUGCUGUAGG